rnacentral:rRNA from 1 species
CCUACGGGAGGCAGCAGUGGGGAAUAUUGCACAAUGGGGGGAACCCUGAUGCAGCGACGCCGCGUGGGUGAAGAAGCGCCUCGGCGCGUAAAGCCCUGUCAGCAGGGAAGAAAAUGACGGUACCUGAAGAAGAAGCCCCGGCUAACUACGUGCCAGCAGCCGCGGUAAUACGCAGGGGGCAAGCGUUAUCCGGAUUUACUGGGUGUAAAGGGGGCGCAGACGGGGUGGCAAGCCAGGAGUGAAAGCCCGGGGCCCAACCCUGGGAUUGCUAGUGGUACUGGGUGGCUGGAGUGCAUGAUGGGCAGGCGGAAUUCCUGGUGUAGCGGUGAAAUGCGUAGAUAUCAGGAGGAACACCGAUGGCGAAGGCGGCCUGCUGGACUGCAACUGACGUUGAGGCCCGAAAGCGUGGGGAGCAAACAGGAUUAGAUACCCCUGUAGUC